rnacentral:tRNA from 7 species
UCCGGCAUUGGGUAAUUGGCAGCCCGCAAGGUUUUGGUCCUUGUUGUCCAGGUUCGAGUCCUGGUGCCGGAGCCA